ensembl:ncRNA C05B10.17 ncRNA
CCUGUUGAAUUGCUCAGCAGAUAUCUCUUCGCCAUUUUGAGAUGUGCUCGGUAGGUGAGUUGUCAUCUGAAAA